rnacentral:misc_RNA from 1 species
UUUUUUGCCACCCAUGGUGGUCUCCUCUUCAAGAUCUUUUGAAUGAAAUGAGAAAGAGGGGUUGGGCUAGCUUUCGCUUGGUGGAAGUGAAAUUAGUCCAUCCAAAUCUAUUUACAUUUUGUUUGUUCUCGAAUAUUGGACCUUGUCGAGUUGGUAACUCAAGGUGUAGUCUGGCCCUCCCGGGGGCACAUGCAAAUUUUCAAUUGUGUCGGGUAGAUAAUGACAAUCAUAGGGGCAGAGACGAUGGUGCACUUCUCCUAAAGAGCCAGUUGGUAGGGGUGAGUUUUCAUCGCUUUGCGUGCAUCUCCUGGAUUGUUGGAACAACUGAGUUUGAUAGAAUGUGCUGUCUAAUGUUUUUUUCGAGUUACUUUG